rnacentral:misc_RNA from 1 species
GAAAUGCGAUAAGUAGUGUGAAUUGCAGAAUUCAGUGAAUCAUCGAAUCUUUGAACGCACAUUGCGCCCCUUGGUAUUCCAUGGGGCAUGCCUGUUCGAGCGUCAUUUGUACCCUCAAGCUCUGCUUGGUGUUGGGUGUUUGUCCCGUCUCCGCGCGUGGACUCGCCCAAAGUGAUUGGCAGCCGGCGUACUGGUCCCGGAGCGCAGCACAUGUCGCGCAAACGAGUGCCUUGGUACGGCGGCGUCCAUAAGCCCCUCUCUCACGCUCUUGACCUCGGAUCAGGUAGGGAUACCCGCUGAACUUAAGC